CAGCAGCCACGGUAAUACGUAGGUGGCAAGCGUUGUCCGGAAUUAUUGGGCGUAAAGGGCUCGCAGGCGGUUUCUUAAGUCUGAUGUGAAAGCCCCCGGCUCAACCGGGGAGGGUCAUUGGAAACUGGGAAACUUGAGUGCGGAAGAGGAGAGUGGAAUUCCACGUGUAGCGGUGAAAUGCGUAGAGAUGUGGAGGAACACCAGUGGCGAAGGCGACUCUCUGGUCUGUAACUGACGCUGAGGAGCGAAAGCGCGGGGAGCGAACAGGAUUAGAUACCCCAGUAGUCCCUGUCUCUUAUAU
rnacentral:rRNA from 1 species